CGAUGGAUAGUAUGAAUGGUUAAACGAAUAUUACACUGUCUCAAGUAAAAAUUUUAUGAAAUUAAGAUAAUAGUUAAGACGCUAUUUCAAACUGUAAGACGAAAAGACCCUAUAGAGCUUAACUAUAAACUUUUUUGAUAAAGAUCAUCAAAAAAUGAUUAUAAAAGAAAGUUAGGUAGUUUAGUUGGGGCGACUGUCUUCUAAAAAGAACGAAGACUAGCAAAGUUAAUAAAAAUAACUUAUUGUUUAAUAAAUUUAUUUAACAAUUACAAAAGUAGGCUAUAAUGACCCAUUGAACUUAAGAAAGUAAAUCAAUGAUUAAAAAAUAAAAGCUACCUUAGGGAUAACAGGAUAAUUUUGUUUUAGAGAUCAUAUCGAAGACAAAGUUUGUCACCUCUAUGUUGAAUUGAGAUAUCCUGAUAAUGCAGAAGUUAUCAAAGGUAGGUCUGUUCGACCUUUAAAAUC
rnacentral:rRNA from 1 species